UGAGUCAUCCUAGGAAGGGGAGCAUCUUGAGGCCCCACUGUUGCAAUCUCGUCCUUGGGCGACGGGAGUAAUGUGACAACCUUGUGACCAGAGUUUGAUCAUUAAAAUGCACAACCUUGUGGGGCCCAGAGCUGCUAACGGAUGCCCCUCAUUCUGAAGGACUUCAGGGGUGAGCUUCACCGUGUGGGGACGAGACUCCACUGGGAAACACCGAAUGAUUUAGCCAGAAGGUGGCCAACGUGGCAGCGGGAGGGCAGAGCGGAGAAGAUGGGAAGAAGCUGGUCCCCCAAAACACUGGGCCCUGAGGGAUGCCAGGUUCUAAGCAAUUUCCAGCAAAGAUGAAUUCUGACUUAACUAAUCGGGUGAAGAAGCAGGCUCGUGUGGACUCAUGUUCAUCCACAUCCUCCAGCGCUGAGUCCCGCACGCUGAAGGAGCCUAGAAUUUAUCUCGUUGCAAGUUCAACACCUGUCUUCGAAAUUAAGUUUAGAGCCAUUUAAAAUUGAAGGCAAUUUUCUGGUCUUCGUGUCAAUAGUAAUUGAGAAGCGAACCGUUGGGUAUGACGUUCUGCGUUCAUUUUGGCGGAAGUUCUAUUUACCCAGGUAGUAACCAAGAAUAUGGUAACAUCAUCAGGACUUGUGAGCUGCACGUGUAUGGCCGCCCUAAGCCUGUCCGUGUCAUUCCCCUUUUAUUCGACUUUAUCUACAUGAGUCCAUUUCUAGUCAAACUGGUCUGUUCAAACACAAUUUUAUUUCCUUUGGUAUUAAAGCUUAUGAUACCUUGCCUAAAAUCCCUUCCCCACUCCUUUUGUUCUGGAUCAUAUUCAUCCUGGCAUUUCUUCUUCUUCACUGUGAAGUCACUGGGCGCUCUUCCUUACUGUGAUAUCUUAUCUGAACUUCCUGAGAAGGCAUCGCCCAUAUCGCUCUUCCAGGACCUGCGAACAUCACCUUUAUUCCAGUCUAGAUCACACGGUCCACCCCUUACACCAGAAUGUUGUCGACAUCAUCAGCUUCCUUCUUGUGCGAAAUCACCCACCCAGUAGAAUGCCCAGCUUCAAUUCAUCUGACCAUCAACCACCUCCGCUACUGAAGUGCCCUGAUCAUCAGCACUGGGGUCUCCUGUCGCAACAAGGCACUGCCAUUUUUCCAUUUGACCCCAGUCACCCGCUUUGCCCACCCUGCCCUACAACCUGGCCAAAAUGUUUCCAUUCUCCUCUAGGUACUAGCUCCACCAAUACUCCUCUCACUCACGGGAGAGGUUCGCCUUCUAAUUCACAGAGAAAAUAGAGGCUGUUUGGCCCAUAAUAUCAGGCCUCCCUUCUCUGAAUAAGCCUAUUUAUUCCUAUGUUAUUGUUUUUCUUCAAUUCCAAUAUUCAUUGGAAUGUUUC
rnacentral:lncRNA from 1 species